GACGAACGCUGGCGGCGUGCUUAACACAUGCAAGUCGAACGGAAAGGCCCUGCUUUUGUGGGGUGCUCGAGUGGCGAACGGGUGAGUAACACGUGAGUAACCUGCCCUUGACUUUGGGAUAACUUCAGGAAACUGCGGCUAAUACCGGAUAGGAGCUCCUGCUGCAUGGUGGGGGUUGGAUAGUUUCGGCGGUUGGGGAUGGACUCGCGGCUUAUCAGCUUGUUGGUGGGGUAGUGGCUUACCAAGGCUUUGACGGGUAGCCGGCCUGAGAGGGUGAACGGCCUCAAUGGGACUGAGAUACGGCCCAGACUCCUACGGGAGGCAGCAGGGGGGAAUAUGGCACAAUGGGCGGAAGCCUGAUGCAGCAACGCCGCGUGCGGGAUGACGGCCUUCGGGUUGUAAACCGCUUUCGCCUGUGACGAAGCGUGAGUGACGGUAAUGGGUAAAGAAGCACCGGCUAACUACGUG
rnacentral:rRNA from 1 species